rnacentral:rRNA from 1 species
GAUGAACGCUGGCGGCGUGCCUAAUACAUGCAAGUCGAGCGAACAGACGAGGAGCUUGCUCCUCUGACGUUAGCGGCGGACGGGUGAGUAACACGUGGAUAACCUACCUAUAAGACUGGGAUAACUUCGGGAAACCGGAGCUAAUACCGGAUAACAUCUUGAACCGCAUGGUUCAACAGUGAAAGACGGUCUUUCUGUCACUUAUAGAUGGAUCCGCGCUGGAUUAGCUAGUUGGUAAGGUACCGGCUUACCAAGGCAACGAUGCGUAGCCGACCUGAGAGGGUGGUCGGCCACACGGGAGGUGAGACACGGUCCAGACUCCUACGGGAAGCCGCAGUAGAGAAUCUUACGCAAUGGGGGAGAGCCUGACAGAGCAAAGCGGCGGGAGUGAAGAUGGUGUUCGGAUCGUAAAACUCUGUUAGUAGGGAAAAACAAAUGUGUAAGUGACUGUGCACGUCUUGACGGUACCUAAUAAGAAAGCCACGGCUAACUACGUG